UACGUAGGUGACAAGCGUUGUCCGGAUUUACUGGGCGUAAAGAGCGCGCAGGCGGUCGAUCAAGUCGAGUGUGAAAGCCCCCGGCUCAACUGGGGAGGGUCAUUCGAUACUGAUCGACUCGAAGGCAGGAGAGGGUAGUGGAAUUCCAGGUGUAGCGGUGAAAUGCGUAGAUAUCUGGAGGAACACCGGUGGCGAAGGCGGCGUUCUGGACUGCAACUGACACUGAGAGACGAAAGCCAGGGGAGCAAACGGG
rnacentral:rRNA from 1 species